CCUACGGGGGGCAGCAGUGAGGAAUAUUGGUCAAUGGACGAGAGUCUGAACCAGCGAAGUAGCGUGAAGGAUGACUGCCCUAUGGGUUGUAAACUUCUUUUAUAAAGGAAUAAAACGAGGCACGUGUGCCUUUUUGCAUGUACUUUAUGAAUAAGGAUCGGCUAACUCCGUGCCAGCAGCCGCGGUAAUACGGAGGAUCCGAGCGUUAUCCGGAUUUGUUGGGUUUAAAGGGAGCGUAGAUGGGUUGUUAAGUCAGUUGUGAAAGUUUGCGGCUCAACCGUAAAAUUGCAAUUGAUACUGGCAGUCUUGAGUACAGUUGAGGUAGGCGGAAUUCGUGGUGUAGCGGUGAAAUGCUUAGAUAUCACGAAGAACCCCGAUUGCGAAGGCAGCUUACUAAACUGUGACUGACAUUGAUGCUCGAAAGUGUGGGUAUCAAACAGGAUUAGAUACCCGUGUAGUC
rnacentral:rRNA from 1 species